CCCUACGGGACGCAGCAGUGGGGAAUAUUGCACAAUGGGGGGAACCCUGAUGCAGCAAUGCCGCGUGGGUGAAGAAGCACUCCGGUGCGUAAAGCCCUGUCAGCAGGGAAGAAAAUGACAGUACCUGGACAAGAAGCCCCGGCUAACUACGUGCCAGCAGCCGCGGUAAUACGUAGGGAGCGAGCGUUAUCCGGAUUCAUUGGGCGUAAAGCGCGCGUAGGCGGCUGCCUAAGCGGAACCUCUAACCCCGGGGCUCAACCUCGGGCCGGGUUCCGAACUGGGCGGCUUGAGUGCGGUAGAGGAGG
rnacentral:rRNA from 1 species